AACCAUUCUCACCUGCGGCUAGACCUGCGGAAGGAUCAUUAACAAAUUCAUCUUUUGAUGACCCCUACCUUGUGUGCACUUGUAACUAAAAAUUGGCCCUUUGGAGUAAAAGGUUUGGAUGCCACCUUUUUUCCAAAGGGUUUUUUUUUUAUAAACGUCUUUUUUGAACAAGUAAAAACAAAAUUUAAAUUAAUAAAUACAACUUUUAGCAACGGAUCU
rnacentral:misc_RNA from 1 species